AGCUUGAUCUGGUCUAGCAUACAGCUUGGUCUGGUCUAGCAUACAGCUUGCUCUAUCUGGGUCUGGGCUGGGUUUCUGUAAAGCACAUAAUGACAUGUGUCUGUGUCCCCUCUUUAUGGUUACUAGGACAAUGCUAGCCCUUCCUCCCUCCCGGAGUCCCCGCGUCGUGCCUCUCCCGGUAGCACCUUACUGCUGGGUAUGAAGAGGUUGUCUGUGCUGCUGGUGGACUGCAGGAAAAAAAUGGGGCUGAGUGGAACUGUGAGAGGAGGAAAAGAGAAGAAAGGAUCAGAUUUGACUCAUCAAAGAGAGACACAUGACUAUCGUGGAUCCUCUGGGGAGCCUCAACAACAUCCUGAUGCUGACGAGGAAGAGAAGAGUCUCUCCAGAUCAGAACACCAGAUGGUACAGCUUGGUCUGGUCUAGCAUACAGCUUGGUCUGGUCUAGCAUACAGCUUUCUCUAUUGGGGUCUGGGCUGGGUUUCUGUAGAGCACUUCAUGACAACAGUGACAUCAGCAUCCAUAAUGAUGUGCGUCUGUGUCCCCUCUUUAUGGUUACCAGGACAACGCUAGCCCUUCCACCCUCUCGGAGUCCCCGUGUCAUGCCUCUCCUGUUAGCACCUUGCUGCUGGUGGACUGCAGGAAAACAAUGGGGCUGAGUGGAACUGUGGGAGGAGGAGAAGAGAGGAAAGGAUCAGAUUUGACUCAAAGUAAGUGCUGUAGUUUAGUUUGAACAAAUAAAUAGAUAUAUUCAUUGGUAUCUGUUACCACGACAACCAGCAGAGUUCUGUNNNNNNNNNNGAGAUAUUUCGUCAUUUAUUUUCCACUUUCAGUUUCACUUACUUAGCUAGCAAAUGCAGCUAUCUAGUUUAGUCUACUCAAACACUUGGCUCAAACAGAGGGAUGCUAUGUUAGCUAGCUGGCUAUGACUAUCCAACACAACACUGGAACUCUUCCAAGUCAAGGCAAGCUUUUGGUUUUACUAAUUUAUUGCCACUGGGACCCGCCAAGGUAAGUGCUAAACUGCUUACUGACUGUACACUGUAACGUUACUGCAUGAUUGUAGCAGGUUUANNNNNNNNNNCUAUGACUAUCCAACACAACACUGGAACUCUUCCAAGUCAAGGCAAGCUUUUGGUUUUACUAAUUUAUUGCCACUGGGACCCGCCAAGGUAAGUGCUAAACUGCUUACUGACUGUACACUGUAACGUUACUGCAUGAUUGUAGCAGGUUUACUCACGAGUUAGUUCUAUUAGCUCUGUUGACUAUGAUGUUAUUUUAGCUAAUAUGUUGACAACAAUGUAAGCUGUGUGUAGCAGUUAUGAA
rnacentral:lncRNA from 13 species